CGCGGCUCCUGUCCAGACCCUGACCCUCCCUCCCAAGGCUCAACCGUCCCCCAACAACCCCCAGCCUUGUACUGAUGUCGGAUGCGAGAGCCUGUGCUUAAGUGACUAAUAAAGGUACCAGAAGAAUAUGGCUGCACAAAUACCAGAAUCUGAUCAGAUAAAACAGACCACCUGUUCAGAACAUUGCUUACAGAAAUAUUUAAAAAUGACACAAAGAAUAUCCAUGAGAUUUCAGGAAUAUCAUAUUCAGCAGAAUGAAGCCCUGGCAGCCAAAGCAGGACUCCUUGGCCAACCACGAUAGAGAAGUCCUGAUGGAUGAACUUUUGAUGAAAGAUUGCCAACAGCUGCUUUAUUGGAAAUGAGGACUCAUCUGAUAGAAUCCCCUGAAAGCAGUAGCCACCAUGUUCAACCAUCUGUCAUGACUGUUUGGCAAAUGGAAACCGCUGGAGAAACAAAAUUGCUAUUUACCAGGAAUAAUCACAAUAGAAGGUCUUAUUGUUCAGUGAAAUAAUAAGAUGCAACAUUUGUUGAGGCCUUAUGAUUCAGCAGCUUGGUCACUUGAUUAGAAAAAUAAACCAUUGUUUCUUCAAUUGUGACUGUUAAUUUUAAAGCAACUUAUGUGUUCGAUCAUGUAUGAGAUAGAAAAAUUUUUAUUACUCAAAGUAAAAUAAAUGGAAAUAUCACUG
rnacentral:lncRNA from 1 species